AGGAUGUUUCGGGUACCGCCUCGGUUUAAAUUUCUUGGAACAGAAUGUCAAAGAGGGUGAGAAUCCCGUCUUGGACCGGCGGUAGGGCCCAUGUGAAACUCCUUCGACGAGUCGAGUUGUUUGGGAAUGCAGCUCAAAAUGGGUGGUAAAUUUCAUCUAAAGCUAAAUAUUGGCCAGAGACCGAUAGCGCACAAGUAGAGUGAUCGAAAGAUGAAAAGCACUUUGAAAAGAGAGUUAAACAGUAUGUGAAAUUGUUGAAAGGGAAGCGCUUACAACCAGACUUGAGCGCGGCGGUUCCCCCUUCCUUUUGGUUGGGUUACUCCGUCGUGUCCAGGCCAACAUCGGUUUCGGGGGUCGGUUAAAGACCUUGGGAAUGUAUCUACCCUUCGGGCGUAGACUUAUAGCCCAGGGUGUCAUGCGGCCUCCCGGGACCGAGGAACGCGCUUCGGCUCGGAUGUUGGCGUAAUGGUUGUCAGCGACCCGUCUUGAAACACGGACCAAGGAGUCUAACAUCUAUGCGAGUGUUUGGGUGUCAAACCCGGAACGCGAAAUGAAAGUGAACGGAGGUAGGAAGCCUUGAGGCUGCACUAUCGACCGAUCCUGAUGUCUUCGGAUGGAUUUGAGUAAGAGCAUAGCUGUUGGGACCCGAAAGAUGGUGA
rnacentral:rRNA from 1 species